AUGCUGUAUUAAUAAAAUCAAUAUUUGAUUGUGCCAUUGUUAUAGAGUUACAUAAUAUGUUUUCUAUUAUACUCGAAGUAUCUGAAUCUGUUGAAUUGUCCAGAUCAGUGUAUACCGCCGAAAUAGUACAAUUAUUCAAAUCUUCAUCUUCUAUUUUGAGGUUUACUUUGGGAAGCUCUUCUGACUCCGAUUCGUUCGUUUCUGUUGAUUCCGGCUCAGGUGCAGUGUCAACUGCUAUUGGAGUGUUUAGAACGGUAGGUACCGAUAUUUCUAAACUGAACUUUUGUUUAACAAAUAUUAAAUUGCAUCGUAGUCGUAUCAAAAGUUUCGAUACCUGUGACCAAUGAUCUUGAUUUAAUCUUUCCCUGUGAUCAUGAAUUAGCAUUCGCGCUUCAUUAAAGCACUCUACGAAUAUUUCAACAUGCUUCCUAACCAUGUUUUUUUGGAUAGGUCUAUUCUGGGUUAGUGACUUGUAUGAUCUGUCGAAAUUAGUUUUAAUGUUUGAUAUUUCCCCGUACAAUUUGUUCCAUUCCAUGCAUGUAGUUUAGCCAUACUUUGUAAGAAGGGUUACAUGAAAUAUUUUUAUAUUUAUUUUUUUGUUAUUUCAUUUUCUUAGAUUUUAGGUGUUGACAUUCAUGUGAAAUCACUUUUGUUUGUGCUGUUUUUUUUUUUUUUUAGAUUUUGUCCAGGUAAUUUUCUUGACUCUGGAAUCUUUUCUUCAAACAUUUUUUGUCUAAUUCAUACAAUUAUAAUACGCUUGCCAACAUUAUAAUAACGGUUAUCAUUAACAAUAUUGUGAUUGUUCGCAGAUCAAUUUUUUCAGAUUCGAUUUUAUUAACGACAUAUGACGUGGAAUCUACAACUUUUGUAUCUACCAAACUUAUUUUAGAUAUUGUAUCGAUUUUCAUUUUUUCAAUUUCUAUCUUUUUUUCCUUUGUGUCAUGUAAUGUUUCUAGGAGGUACUUAUGCUAUUACUUCUCAUUAGAAAAGAGUGAGAAAAAAAAUUAAAUUGGCUUUUAUCCAUAUUUUUUUUAAUUCUAUUUUCCUGCCUAUCAUUUGUACGGCUUUACGGGCCAUACUUUCUAAUUGGGCAGAAAGAGUUCCGCUCAAUUUUGCAAAAUAUUAUAUUAUAUUAAAAAAAAAUAUGCAUCGUAGUGCAAUUAAAAAAAUUAUGCAACGCAGUACAUGGGUAAAAAAAAUGUUGUUUCCAGCAUGGUUGGUUUCUCUUCCUUCCUUCUACGUCAGCUGGUCUUCGCCGGUUUGGCUACGCUGACGCUCCGUCGGUGGCGCAGGAGGUGGCGUAUUCCCGCACUCUAUUUGCCGCUGCUGCUGUCCGGGACCUUUUGGGCUCAGGCGUUACCGGUGCCGGUCCUCGCACCUUUUGAAGUUUUGGUAAUUGCUUUGGGGAUGGGGGUUUCGUUGCUGUUAGUAUUUCAUUAAAUCUUCUUAUUGGCACUGAGUGAGUGGAGGUAAUUUUUGGGCGUUUAUUAUUAAUUAAUUUUUCUUGCAGAAAAUCCAGUUCUGUUUGUAGUUUUUGGGCCGUAGCCCACGCGGGAGGUGUAGUAUUUACGUAGAGUAGCCAUUUCAGGUGUGCUACCCUUUUUUUUCCUUUGCGCAACUCCUACGCGUUUUUGUAGUCUUCCUUCCUGUCUUCCAUUUCUGAGUGUCCGUUAUCCGAAAAUUACGAUGCAGUCGUUCCUUUUCAGUAAAGAUGUGAACUUAUAUACGUUGCUAUGCGCUCAUAAGUGGAGGCGCAAUUAUGCCGACGCUAGCACUUUCUGUGUGCGGGCUAAGCCAUGGCGAUCGGUUCAUAAUUCGGCUACUUAAGGUUUAUGACCGGGACUUUGAAAUAUGUAAACACUGCAACAAAGUGUUUCAGUGCGCACCCCUUAAGUACCCUCGGUACAAUGGGUAUUCAAUAAAUGUGCAUACAACAAUGCAAUCCUCAAUGCUUUUAAUCUUUUCUUUCUUUUUCUUAUAGAAUUCAAUUUUAUUUUGCUAUUUAAGCUUGAAAUUUUCGUAUGUCGAUUAUUAAUAUUUUGAGUUAUAAUUUUUCUUAAAUCUUUUCCAAACUUUCCAAUUUUCUUCUCAUCAGUAUAUUGUUUCGUUGCAAGAUCAUCCUUAUCUUAAGGUUUU